rnacentral:rRNA from 1 species
GACGAACGCUGGCGGCGUGCUUAACACAUGCAAGUCGAGCGGAAAGGCCCUUCGGGGUACUCGAGCGGCGAACGGGUGAGUAACACGUGAGUAACCUGCCCUUGGCUCUGGGAUAAGCCCGGGAAACUGGGUCUAAUACCGGAUAUGACCAUUGGAUGCAUGUCUGAUGGUGGAAAGUUUUUCGGCUGGGGAUGGACUCGCGGUCUAUCAGCUUGUUGGUGGGGUAACGGCCUACCAAGGCGACGACGGAUAGCCGGCCUGAGAGGGUGACCGGCCACACUGGGACUGAGACACGGCCCAGACUCCUACGGGAGGCUG